rnacentral:pre_miRNA from 14 species
UAGUAGUAGUGUAAAUUGUUUUGUUGUUCGCGGGUGGAUCACGAUGCAAUUUUAUUUAGUUUGGUAGGAGAAAAAUUGCACGGUAUCCAUCUGUAAACCGCAGAAUGCCUGUGCAAUUUAUAGGU